rnacentral:rRNA from 1 species
UACAGAGGUCUCAAGCGUUGUUCGGAUUCAUUGGGCGUAAAGGGUGCGUAGGUGGCGCGGUAAGUCGGGUGUGAAAUCUCGGAGCUUAACUCCGAAAUUGCAUUCGAUACUGCCGUGCUCGAGGACUGGAGAGGAGACUGGAAUUCAUGGUGUAGCAGUGAAAUGCGUAGAGAUCAUGAGGAAGACCAGUGGCGAAGGCGGGGUCUCUGGACAGUUCCUGACACUGAGGCACGAAGGCCAGGGGGAGCAAAACGGGG